UUCUAGGUGAGGGAUGAAAGAGAAGCCUGAAGACCUCUUAUGAUGAAUAAUUUCAAUGGAAACUGUGUUCCCUUGCUCGGACGUGGGUCACUGGGGCCCCCCUCUGGAGCCAGGCCUAGAGGUGGGGUACGUUGGCGAGCCCGGCCGGGCACAGCCCGAAGAGGAAACAUGGGUCCCCCUUCCCAUGGGCUCACCACUCGUGGGAGGGGCCAAAGGGGUCAGGUGCAGUGUGUGACAGGUGGUAGUCGAGGGUGGGGGACCUUGGUGGUCUGAUCCUUGGCUACAGAAGCUGGCUCUUGGCACAUGGAAUGACGCCUCUCUGGUGGGGAAGGAGCCAGAGCUGGUGUGUGAGGUUGAGAGAUUCCAACUAGAUAUAGUCGGCCUCACCUCAACGCAUGGUUCUGGUUCUGGAACCAGUUUGCUUGAGAGGGGUUGGACACUCUACCACUCUGGAGUUGCUCCCACUGAGAGGCGCCGAGCAGGGGUAUGCAGGGCAUACUAGUUGCCCCCAUCUUGGUGCCUGUACGUUGGAGUUUACCCCGGUGAAUGAGAGGGUAGCCUCCCUCCGCCUACGUGUGGAGGGACAGGUUCUGACUGUGGUCUGUGCUUAUGCACCAAACUACAGUUCAGACUACCCACCCAUUUUGGAGACCUUGGAGGGGGUGCUGGAGAGUGCUCCUUCCGGUGACUCCCUCAUUCUGCUAGGGGAUUUUAAUGCUCACGUGGGCAACAACAGUGAGACCUGGAGAGGUGUGGUUGGGAGGAACCCCCCCCCCCGAUCUGAAUUCGAGUGGUGUUUUGUUAUUGGACUUCUGUGCCAGUCAUGGAUUGUCCAUAAUGAACACCAUGUUCAAACAUAAAGGUGUCCAUAUGUGCUCUUGGCACCACGAUACCUUAGGCCUCAGCUCGAUGAUCGACUUUGUUGUUGUUUCAUCUGACCUGCAGCCACAUGUCUUGGACACUCGGGUGAAGAGAUGGGCGGAGCUGUCAACUGACCACUACCUGGUGGUGAGUUGGCUCAGAUGGUGGGGGAGGAUGCCAGUCAGACCAGGCAGGCCCAAACGUAUCGCAAGAGUAUGCUGGGAACGCCUGGCAGAGUCUCCUGUCAAAAGGAGCUUCAAUUCCCAUCUCCAAUUGAUAGAGGCCUCUUCACAAGCCAACAGGCAACGUUUCAAACAAUUUGGUUUAUUCCUAUGGAAAUGGCGGCACUUGGAACCCGAAAUGUGGUUGUUAGAAGCCCCGCCUUUCAGGAAGUAGGAGCCCGGUUGGGACCGAACACACAUCUACACACUCGUCUCGGGCCUCUGAACAACAUAUUUAAUUUUCAAACCCAAGCAACUUUUAGAAUUAUGUUGUGUCCAUACAUUUUUUCUAACCCAGAAGGUCUGAAAGGCCAAAGGCUUGAGAUCUUCUGAUUUUCUGGAUUUCAAAUGGCCAAUUAAACUAACCACUAGGAUAAGGGUUAUUAUUCCAUAAGAUUAUUGUAAAGCGACCCCUGGGGAUCAUCUGACACGAGUUUUGAGUCAGUGGGGUCAAAGGUGGCUACAUAGUGGCCAAAAAGCAGUUGAUUGAAAUUUUAAAUGACAAAAUGGAGGGAAAAUGAAUAACUCCCAAACUUUUUGACCUAAGGAGCUGAAAUGUUAAUGUCUAGAUUGUGGUGCUCGAGCCAUACACUGUGCAAAUUUUUAGACUCACAGCACCUUGGGAAGUGUCAAAAGUCACAGAGGUCAGCAAUCAGAGUGGCCUUUUGGCCUGCUUUUGUCUAACAACUCAACACAACUCACGCGUUGAGAUAUAAACAUGAAAUCUGAGUAUGUUGCUUAUCAAACGGACUUUACCCGCAUAUCUCGGUGAAGUUAUGAUGGGACCUCUAGGGGUCUGCUAAACUUUUUUACUGGUUUUAUAUGUUUUUAUUUUUAUUGUACAGCACUUUGGUUGCAUGUUUCAUGCCUGUAAGGAGCUUUCUAAAUACUGAUUGAUCGAUAAGAUCAUUCUAAAGCAACCCCUGGGGAUCAUCUGACCUGAGUCUGGGGUCAAAGGUUGCUGCGUGGCAGCCAAAAUGUAUUUCUUUGAAAUUUGAAUUUAGAAAAUGGUGGGAAAAUGAAUAACAUUAAAACUAUUUGACCUAUGAGGCUGAAAUUUGUGUAGAAUAGAAUAGAAUAGAAUAGAAUAGAAUAGAAUAAUCCUUAUGUCCCACAAUGUGGAUAUUGAGUCACAGCAGCUAGUUUGUAAAGUAAAUGUUUUGCUCCAAGUUAAAUAUUCAGAUUACAAACUAAAUAUGUUGGUGUGACCUAAUUAUUUAAUUUGUAAAAUAAACUUUUAAGUCUCAAUUAAAUAUUUGGCUUGUAAUAUUAAUAUUUAGUUGGAAACUUUAACAUUUAUAAAUGUAUGAAUAAUCAUGGUGAAAAUAUUACUUAGAAAAAUGAACCACCUAUUUUUACCUUCUGCUAGUUUAUCUUAAUUGCUGCAAAAAUUAUGUUUGAUUUUAAAUGGCACCACACAGAUAUGUACAGAAAUACAAAUUAUUAAUACUUUAAACUAUCAUUCACAGCAUUUUAACCUAUUAACAUUUUAAUUAUAUUUCAGUUGAUUGCAUUUUACUUCUUCCACCAAGUCUCAGAAUUUGUUUUCUGAAUUAUACCGUACCAAUUAUCAUUUUUUCUACAGUCUUUGUAUUAAACCCAGUUACUAGGAACUACUUUUUCUUCUGCUUUCCACAGAACAACUCAUUAACUAUUCAGGAAAACGGUCAGAUCGGACAGAUAAUGAUAUUAACUGCAUUUUGCGAUGUAGGUGAUGACUAACAUGCAGUUAUUGUGUUAUUUAUAAAUGGUGUGUUUUUACUGGUAAUUCAUCUCGAGUCCCAGUAUUCAUGCGCUCAUGCCCGGGAAAGCACCUGGCUCACGUGAUCACCAUCAGUGAGCGGUUCACUAGCUGUAGCCAGCGCCGUAAGAACGCCGCUGCGCCGCUCAUUGGUCCAGCCGACAAUUGCGCGGCAGUCCUUGGCGGUGUUCUAACCGGUUCUAACCGAACAGCGGCAAGAAAGAUAAAGAACUGGAGGAAAGAACUUCAGCUGCAGGAAUAAAGGGAUUCGCAACGUUCUCCAGUCUGCUGCAGGACAACGAAGACUGUUUUCUCGACGUAGAUGCGUGGAGCAUUGCAUGUAAGUGUCCUUUCUCUUUACUGACUUUUAGUCUAACAUUGCUUGCUCAUAAGACUAGUCACCGAUAUUUGAGGAAGGAAAAGUUUGAGUAAACUGCCGUUCUGGUUCAAAAUGUCUUACACGUGUACUGUUUGUAAAUUCAAAACUGUGUCAACUCCCGCAUUUAUUCGACAUGUUAAAAUGCACAGCAAUGUCGCUAACAUUAGAUUUCACUGUGGCUAUAUGCAAAUUGUCCUUCUGCUUUUUCAACAGUAAUUGCUCUUCAAACGCAUAUGUACAGAGUCCAUAGCAAACGCAAGGACAUGCUUUGACCUGCAAAUUUGAGGGGUGCACACUUUAUUGCAUAAUGAACUACAUAUGGAAAAGACUGCACUGCAAAAACUGAUUUCUAAGAAAGUAAAAACACUCAUUUUAUGAUCCAGAUUUUCUAGUUUUGAGUAAAAAAAAUCUGCCAGAGGUAAGCGGUAAGAGGUAAAAAGUUGCUUGGCUAGAAUUUGUAAAACUAGCAAAUAAAUUGAUUGUUUUUUGACUUAACUUGAGCAAAACCUUGCGAGAUUUCAUAACUGCUGCCUUUUAACCACGAACUGCUUUAAAUUCCCUCCAAAUUGAUGGUCAAUCGAAACAAUGGAAAAUUUGCAAUAAGUACUGGAACAGAGCACGUUGCUAUCUUUUGCCGCUGACCGCUCCUGCAUGUCGCCUACCGUGGGUCGAAUCCUUAAUAAACACUAGAAAUCCAAGAGGCCUUUGCAGCGCUUUGCUGCCCGGGCCUAAUUAAAAGACAACUUACAUGUGUUUUUCCUUUUUAUUUCUUAUUCUAAUGCUUUGCUGGAGUAUUAGAUCGAGAGCAAAAGAAUGUGAUCAAAGCAUCCCUAGUUGCAUUUUGCGUUUUGUCCUGUUCUCUCUGAGCCUCAGUGCAUAUACCAGGGACUGUCUUCUACAUUUGCCAAUUGUAAAACUUAAAAAGGAGUCUGUUAAGCUGUGUUAAACACAGUUUACUGUGUUUUUAUUUAUUUUUUUUUGUAAAAAGUUUAAUUGUGCAUUUUGUUCAUCUCAAUUCAUCAGGUUACAACAACUCCUGCUGAUGCAGAGGAACAGUUCAUCCUCCCAAGCACCCCAAGGCUCAUCGCACUUGGAGACACUAUGUGGUCUGCGAACAAGUGGAUGCUAUCCAUAGAGGGCAGAGUUGUAAUCCCACUUUUGCCUCCCAUACCGGAUUUUACAACUGCCUUGGCUGUCCUGUUUGCCAGUUUCUAUGUAUUCAACAUAGAAUAUCAGGUGGAAGCAGUCACAACACUGGAAUUCGUUCAGAGGUUCCUUGCCAGGAUCAAUCCAAAUUCCAUCAAGUGCACAGCCAAGGUCCAGACGAGCAGAAAAACUGGCAGAACUGUGAAGAGAAAGACAACGGAUAUAAAUCCACGCGUCGUUUCAUUCAUGAACGCCUUCUCUGCAUUUGACUGGCAAAACAGCUAGCUUAAGGUGAGGUUCUGAUACUGGUCACUACAUCUACGAAGAUGGGUUUGGUCUUUAUUUGUCAAAAGUAGCGUAAACAUAUGGAGCCCAUAAGGGGACAUGAGCAACAAAAAUCUUGUGCGUACCAGUAAUUUUCUCGUGCGCACAAUUUAAUAACUUGUGCGUAAGAGAUACUUUAUCAUCAGCUAAUAAAAGUUAAAAGCCAGAUGUUUUUGUCAAAAAUUGGAAUAGACUUUAAUCAUGAGUUGUAAGAUCCACAUCCCUACUGGCUAUAUUAUUAGAAUUAUUCUCACAAUCUAUGACCUAAUGCUUGGAUGUGACCAGAGGGCUCAUGCUGUAGGCUAUGUGCGUUUGUAACAGAUCAUAGUCUUGGAUUUGGAACUACAAAAACAAAGAAAAACGCUGAAAUGAGGAAAAGCUGGCCAGAGAAAUGGAAUGUGCAACAUUCCUUGGCACCCCUGGCUACUUUAUGCAAAGAAACUUCAUCUUCACUCAUCACUACAGUUAAUGGCAUGCUACACUUGUAACGGGGUUGGGCGAUUUGUAUAAUUUUUCCAACCUCCAAUUGUCAGUCCAAUAACUGACGAUAGACGAUACAUUCGCAGAUGUGUCUCUGAGCAACAUAAUCAUGCACCGAUUGAAUUGCGAACAAAAAAGAAGCCCAAUCAUGGAUAUUUUAAAUGGAAGCACAGCACAUAGAUGUUUGAUGGAAGAGAAAUUUAUAUUCUUCCUACUUAUUGUUUAAUUUUGUAUCUGGUCGAGUGUACGUCACAACGGUUGUUAUAAACACGUUUAUAGUGUUAUAAAGAAGCCUCAUCUUUGUUUCCCUGUGGCGCACACCAUUGUGGUAUUUUAUUUUACUUAAAUAUUUUCUUGUUUUAACAUAGGCGUUUGCACCUGGGCGCAUUAGUGACUUAGCAGGACAAAAUGAAGGGAGUGAAGCAUCCUGUCAGAGACAUUGAGGAUCUUUGUGUCUCUGGGAGGAAGCGGAGCCACAAGUGAGCCUCGUGAGGAGAAUGGCGAACCUUAUUGCAAAGCCAAAUGCUACGGCUUUUUACAUUACAUUAGUGGUUAUUUUGGUCUUGAUAAUGUCGACAAUAAUAUCGUUUAUUGUCAAUAAUUUGUUGAACAGCAUUCCAGGUCAAGAUGAACCUUAAAUUAAAUGAACCAUGCAAGGAGAAAUUCUUGGGGAAAAGAUUUUUAUUUUCACACAGGGAUUAAGGAUGGGUGCCGAAUAGAGUUGGCUAUCGAUUCAAAUUUCAAGAGUCGAUUUGAUUAAGAUUCUCAAGAUUUAGAACCGAUUAUUGCAAUUCAGUUCAAUUUGCUAUAUCCAUUCAGGUCAGUGAACUCUUCUUUUUUUUUUUUUUUUUUGCUGUUAUCUGACUAUGUAGUUGUGCAGUAUAUUAAAAUAGUAACAUUCAACAACAAACUAAUGAAAUAUUAGCAGUUUAAAAUGGCUGUAAGGCCCAAUCUCUCUCUCUCAGAAUGUAACUUUUCACAAACAAGCUGUCUGAAUCAGCAAACUGAACCAGGAACAGCCAACAGAAGAUGUAAGAUGUACACACAAAUGCAUCAAUGGAACACAAACCUAGGGCAUUAUGAACAAUAAGAAAGUAAGAAUCCAUCCAAAAGCUAUGUGCACACACACACAAACACACUUAUUUUUUGAUUUUUAUACGGUCCUCACUAAACACAAAUGCUUUUUAACCAUAUUUGUCAGAUAUAUUUUUGGCUUGAACAGCUUCAGGGUUGACCUUCCCUUAAAUGUAAUCAUUUGGUCCAAGAAAAUGUCCAUGUCUGGACCACAGAUGGCUGGGAUACGUGGAAUAUUCAUUUGUGUUGCGCUCCUUGACUUCCAUUGACUUCACAUUCCCUCUUCAUCUGUCUUAAUUAGCUGAGUUUUUUAUUGUGAUUGUUUUAUUUUCAGGACGUUGCUGUGGAGCAGCCCUACAGAACUGAUGGACUGGGUGAGGGACCCUAAGAGGCAAGAAGUCUGUACCUAGAGUACACAUUUUUUUUACAUCGCGUUAUAUGGAAAAAUAGUGUUUUUUUGUUGACAUGUCAAUGCCACUGUUUUGACUGUUUUAAGGUUAAUGAGGUUUGUAAUAUUGCAAUAUGUUCACAACAUGUUCUAGAAACACGAUGGUGAUCAUGUAUCAUUAUUUAUCUGGAUACUUCUAUCCAUUGUUUUAAGUAGUUUUUGUGUUCUUUGAAUACACAAAUGUUCACAGCAUGUAUACAAAAAUGUUGACAUGUUAUUGCCUGUUUUUAUAGAUAUGGCUAUGGCUAGUUGUAUUGUAAUGUGUGUACAACAUGUUCUAAGAACUUAAUGAUGAUUAUACUUUUUUGCCAAUGUUAUCUGUGGAUAUUUAUAUCCAUUGUUAUAGAAAUAAAUGGGCAAAUGUAA